CCUACGGGAGGCAGCAGUGAGGAAUAUUGGUCAAUGGACGAGAGUCUGAACCAGCCAAGUAGCGUGAAGGAUGACUGCCCUAUGGGUUGUAAACUUCUUUUAUAUGGGAAUAAAAUGUUCCACGUGUGGGAUUUUGUAUGUACCAUAUGAAUAAGGAUCGGCUAACUCCGUGCCAGCAGCCGCGGUAAUACGGAGGAUCCGAGCGUUAUCCGGAUUUAUUGGGUUUAAAGGGAGCGUAGGUGGAUUGUUAAGUCAGUUGUGAAAGUUUGCGGCCCAACCGUAAAAUUGCAGUUGAAACUGGCAGUCUUGAGUACAGUAGAGGUGGGCGGAAUUCGUGGUGUAGCGGUGAAAUGCUUAGAUAUCACGAAGAACUCCGAUUGCGAAGGCAGUUCACUGGACUGCAACUGACACUGAGGCUCGAAAGUGUGGGUAUCAAACAGGAUUAGAUACCCCUGUAGUC
rnacentral:rRNA from 1 species